rnacentral:misc_RNA from 1 species
GAUGAAGAACGUAGCGAAAUGCGAUACUUGGUGUGAAUUGCAGAAUCCCGUGAACCAUCGAGUCUUUGAACGCAAGUUGCGCCCGAAGCCAUUAGGCCGAGGGCACGCCUGCCUGGGCGUCACACGUCGUUGCCCCCCCAUCUACUCCUUCGGGAUUGCGAGGGGCGGAUGAUGGCCUCCCGUGCGCCUCGUCGCGCGGUUGGCAUAAAUGCCAAGUCCUCGGCGACGCACGCCACGACAAUCGGUGGUUGCGAAACCUCGGUUGCCCGUCGUGUGCGGUCGUCGCGCAUCGAGGGCUCGAAAAAAUUGUCGGGCUCCGGCUCGGCUUUCAACGCGACCCCAGGUCAGGCGGGGUUACCCGCUGAAUUUAAGCAUACAAUAAGCGGAGGA